AAACAUUUUUUAGCCCCAAGAGGUCGACGACCAGCUGCAUCGUCGACCGCAGUACACCAGCAGAAAGCAUACCAUCAAAAGAAUUGGGUUCAAAAUCAGAACAAGCACCAGAAAAGGUAGAUUAUCAGGGGAGCAAUAGGAGACAUCCCACAGGCCACUAAGGACUUCAUCAAAUCUUCAAGAGACCAGUAUGCUGUUUGCAGUAUAUCAGGAAGUGGAUGUUAUUUACAGACAACAAACCCAUUCAG
rnacentral:misc_RNA from 1 species